AUGAACGCUAGCUACAGGCUUAACACAUGCAAGUCGAGGGGCAGCAUGGACCCAGCUUUGCUGGGUUUGAUGGCGACCGGCGCACGGGUGAGUAACGCGUAUCCAACCUGCCCUUUACUCCGGGAUAGUCUCCUGAAAGGGAGUUUAAUACCGGAUGUGUUUGUCUUUCCGCAUGGGAGCGACAAAUAAAGAUUGAUUGGUAAAGGAUGGGGAUGCGUCCCAUUAGCUUGUUGGCGGGGUAACGGCCCACCAAGGCGACGAUGGGUAGGGGUUCUGAGAGGAAGGUCCCCCACAUUGGAACUGAGACACGGUCCAAACUCCUACGGGAGGCAGCAGUGAGGAAUAUUGGUCAAUGGGCGGGAGCCUGAACCAGCCAAGUAGCGUGAAGGACGACGGCCCUACGGGUUGUAAACUUCUUUUAUAAGGGAAUAAAGUUCGCCACGUGUGGUGUUUUGUAUGUACCUUAUGAAUAAGCAUCGGCUAAUUCCGUGCCAGCAGCCGCGGUAAUACGGAAGAUGCGAGCGUUAUCCGGAUUUAUUGGGUUUAAAGGGAGCGUAGGCGGGCUUUUAAGUCAGCGGUCAAAUGUCGUGGCUCAACCAUGUCAAGCCGUUGAAACUGUAAGCCUUGAGUCUGCACAGGGCACAUGGAAUUCGUGGUGUAGCGGUGAAAUGCUUAGAUAUCACGAAGAACUCCGAUCGCGAAGGCAUUGUGCCGGGGCAUAACUGACGCUGAGGCUCGAAAGUGCGGGUAUCAAACAGGAUUAGAUACCCUGGUAGUCCGCACGGUAAACGAUGAAUGCUCGCUAUGGGCGAUAUAUUGUCCGUGGCCAAGCGAAAGCGUUAAGCAUUCCACCUGGGGAGUACGCCGGCAACGGUGAAACUCAAAGGAAUUGACGGGGGCCCGCACAAGCGGUGGCGUAUGUGGUUUAAUUCGAAGCAACGCGAAGAACCUUACCAGGCCUUGACAUCCCUUGCAGAGGUAUAGAGAUAUAUCCGAGGUUAUCAAGGAGACAGGUGGUGCAUGGUUGUCGUCAGCUCGUGUCGUGAGAUGUUGGGUUAAGUCCCGCAACGAGCGCAACCCUUGUGAUAUGUUACUAACAUUGAGUUGAGGACUCAUAUCAGACUGCCGGUGAUAAACCGGAGGAAGGUGGGGAUGACGUCAAAUCAGCACGGCCCUUACGUCCGGGGCCACACACGUGUUACAAUGGGGGGUACAGAGGGCCGCUGUCCGGUGACGGUCGGCCAAUCCCUAAAACCCCUCUCAGUUCGGACUGGAGUCUGCAACCCGACUCCACGAAGCUGGAUUCGCUAGUAAUCGCGCAUCAGCCAUGGCGCGGUGAAUACGUUCCCGGGCCUUGUACACACCGCCCGUCAAGCCAUGAAAGCCGGGGGUGCCUGAAGUCCGUGACCGCGAGGGUCGGCCUAGGGUAAAACUGGUGAUUGGGGCU
rnacentral:rRNA from 1 species